rnacentral:rRNA from 1 species
GCCGCUGUACUUGCAAUGAGGCACGGUCGGCUUAUUGUUUACGCUGGAGCAAUGGGUGCCUUAACGGUCAUGCACGUACUCUCAUCGAUGAUGGGCUUUGCAUUACCGUCUCUAAUACCUCGAUCAUACACACAUAUGGCAAGCA